GCCCGCUCAAGAAACUACAAAGGAAUUGGACGGGGCCCGCACAAGCGGUGGAGCAUGUGGUUUAAUUCGAUGAUACGCGAGGAACCUUACCUGGGCUCGAACGUAAGAUGACUGUAGGUGAAAGCUUACAUCUCUUCGGAGCAUUUUACGAGGUGCUGCAUGGUUGUCGUCAGCUCGUGCCGUGAGGUGUCGGGUUAAGUCCCAUAACGAGCGCAACCCCUACCUUUAGUUGCCAUCAGGUUAAGCUAGGGACUCUAAAGGAACUGCCUACGCAAGUAGUGAGGAAGGCGGGGAUGACGUCAAAUCAGCACGGCCCUUACGUCCAGGGCUACACACGUGCUACAAUGGCCGAUACAGAGGGCAGCUACCUGGUGACAGGAUGCAAAUCUCCAAAGUCGGUCUCAGUUCGGAUCGGAGUCUGCAACCCGACUCCGUGAAGUUGGAUUCGCUAGUAAUCGCGCAUCAGCCAUGGCGCGGUGAAUACGUUCCCGGGCCUU
rnacentral:rRNA from 1 species